GGGUCACUGUCCUCCCAAGGCCUCAGCACCCCAUGUGGCGUCUGACUGACUACCUGGGCAUGCAGGCCCCUGCCAACCUGAAGACAGGCCAACCAGUGCACCACAGCGGAGGGAAAACAGCUGCAGUGGAAAGCAGUAACACCACGGCCAACCAAAGCCAGCAAGUUUGGCCCGCGGGAGCCGAGAUGCAGCCAUGAUCAGUAGAAAAAAUAUAUAUGUGACCUUGGAAAAGGCUGGAGAAAUGCAGCGUGUUUUCUUCAUGGAAUUGUCCCUAUCCUCGUUGGCUCUCUGGCACACAUGAGGCCUCAGGAGCGGGAUGGGAGGAGGCGUUCUCCAGUGACCCCGGGGAGCCUGAGUGACCACACCAGGAGGUUGCCAGAGGCCGUGCAGGAAGGAGCCAGUUGCAGGCACGGGCAAGCCUCACCCUCACCGCGGGGAAGGAGGGGUCUCCCGGCCGCCUGGAGGGGGCGCUCUCUGCAGCAGCGCACGGAGCGGAGGAGGCCUGGUAGGGAACCUGAAGUCCUGUGCAUACUACCUACCAUGUUCUCCCCUGCCUGCUCUCCUACCCGUGCUCUCUCUCACACACGUUUCGGAGAUUGUGGCUUAUCAGAUGAAAAUAUGAGUUGA
rnacentral:lncRNA from 1 species